GAGUUUGAUCCUGGCUCAGAUUGAACGCUGGCGGCAUGCCUUACACAUGCAAGUCGAACGGCAGCACGGGAGCUUGCUCCUGGUGGCGAGUGGCGAACGGGUGAGUAAUGCAUCGGAACGUAUCCUGGAGUGGGGGAUAACGUAGCGAAAGUUACGCUAAUACCGCAUAUUCUGUGAGCAGGAAAGCGGGGGACCUUCGGGCCUCGCGCUCUUGGAGCGGCCGAUGUCGGAUUAGCUAGUUGGUGAGGUAAAGGCUCACCAAGGCGACGAUCCGUAGCAGGUCUGAGAGGAUGAUCUGCCACACUGGAACUGGGACACGGUCCAGACUCCUACGGGAGGCAGCAGUGGGGAAUUUUGGACAAUGGGGGCAACCCUGGUCCAGCCAUGCCGCGUGAGUGAAGAAGGCCUCGGUUG
rnacentral:rRNA from 1 species